GCGCACCAGUCGCGAAUAGUCUACAAUGGACGAAAGUCUGAUAGUGCGACGCCGUGUGUGCGAUUAAUUCCUUCGGGAUGUAAAGCACUUUUCUAUGAGAUAAAAGCUCUUUAGGUUAAUAGCUUAUUGAGACGGAUAUUAUUAUAGGAAUAAGCUCCGGCUAACUCCGUGCCAGCAGCCGCGGUAAUACGGAAGGAGCGAGCGUUGUCCGGAUUUACUAGGCGUAAAGGGCUAGUAGGCGACUAAUUAAGUUAUAUGUUAAAUCCCGCGGCUCAACUGUGGUCCUGCAUGUAAUACUGGUUAGAUAGAGUACUGUAGAGGAAGGCAGAAUUCCUGGAGUAGCGGUGGAAUGCGCAGAUAUCAGGAAGAAUACCAAAAGCGAAGGCAGCCUUCUGGGCAGUUACUGACGCUGAAUAGCGAAGGUGUGGGUAGCGAACAGGAUUAGAUACCCGCGUAGU
rnacentral:rRNA from 1 species